CUAGGUCGCCCAAACAACCCCAAAAUCACACCAAAUGACCUUCAACCUUCUCUCACCACUAUCCUACCACAGAAUACCCCAAAAAAAAAAACCCUUUAAUCCCCUCAAAUCCAAGAUCUCAGAAAAACAAUAUACCCAAGUUCUGUUUGUUGUUCUUCAAAUUGUUUCCGGACUCGACUUAGUUAAAAACCAUGCUAAUCAAUCGUUCUCAACUAGAACGGGUUGUUAGCAUACUUUUUAGCUAUAUCGAAGGAGUUCCUACUUGGCAGAAAUCCUCUUUGGUAUAUUUUCUUUGACCUAUUUUCCCUUUUUCUUUGUGUUUUGUUUUUAUUUCCAAUGGUUUACAUGCAUAUGGUCAUGUGUUAGUUAAGACAUAUCUAUUUUAGGUUAAUUGACUACUAGUUUAGUUUUAAAAUUAUUCAAACAUGUUAACCGUUAAAAAAUCCGUUUGGUUGUUAAGUUGUUUGAUUCAAUUAUUUGUAAAUUAAUUAGGUUAAUUUCUAGGGUUUCUUUGCAUCUUCAUUCUAGUUCUUAUUUGGUUAUUAUUUUGAUGUGUUAUUUGUUUAAAUUCCGUUUUUGUUUGGAAUUAAUUAAAUGAACUGUUUAAUUCACUGAUUAGUUUAGAUUAUUUGGAUUAAACCCUAGAUGCCUUUAAGUUUGAAAUUAAUUUCAGAAAUGAAAGGUAGUAUUCAGAGUUGUUAUGGGUGGUACAAUUGAAACAAUAUUAGGAAUUUCCAUGCUAGAACCACUUAGAUAGUUCUAGAAGAUCCCACAUAGAUUUUAAAAUCAAAAUUAGGCCAGAUUGAUUAGAAUUAAUUGCAAUAAGCUAAAAUUAAAAGGGUAAAAUUGAGAAUCUACAAUAGGAAAUAUCUAUCAGGAAAGUCUAGUAUUGGAUAUCUGUCCCUGAAUUUUGCUGAAAAACGACGAACGACUGUUAAAAGAUGUUGUACUAUCUGAUAUAAGGUAGAAUAUGCUUUUUUGAUGUUGUAAGGAAUAGUUAUUACUUCAUUAGGGACAUAAUUUAAUAGCCUAUAGUCACCUAAAAAUUUCUGAAUACAAAAAGAGGAAAAUAUUCAUGCAAUUUUCUAGCUAAGACAUUAAUUUUCUGGUUAGAAUUCUAGGCCGGUUUUCUCUAGUAUUUUGGUUUUAGAGAGUCCAAGUGCUUGUCAUUUGGUUUCUGGGUUGAAUUUUUACUGCUGUUUUGGGUUUCUGCUGGUUCAUAGCUUCCAAUUAGAGCUUCAUUUUGUUUCAUUUUGAUCCUUAUUACAGUAGGUAAGCAACUCCCUGUCCAAAAUUAGUCAUGAAUGAGAUAUGGUUUGGAUUCAAAUAUGUAUGUUAUUUCUGCUUGUAAUCUCUAAACUUGUCUCAUAUUCAUGUUUUGGAUAAAUGCUACUUUUCCUUGAAAUCCUAGAUUUCUUUCUUGUAAAAUGACUCCUUACCAGUUUUUGUGUAUGAACAUGCCUUCAUCAGAUAAACCUAUAUGGUCAUUAGGUUGGUACUACCACUGAUUGCUAUUUAGUUGAUUAUGCAAUGCUAAAUGGAGUCUCCAUAAUAAUGAAACUUGUAUCUUGUUUUCUAAUUGUAUGCGAGUAGCAACAAGAGAAGAAAAUCUUAGAGCUGGAAUCAAAUGCUAACUUGUGAAAAACAUCUCUAUAGCUGAUAUUUUGCAAGUUGAACCUUGCUAAAGGGCUUUGUAAUAAUUGAAGACUGUAAGUCAUGAUACUUUUAAAAAAUUCUUUCUUUCUUUUAAACAUAUAGUUGUAUUCAGAAUCAUGUCGUACAUUUAUGGAUUGUUCAGUAGUAAAUUGACUAUUGGAAUAUAUUAAUUUUAAGUUUGAUCAUGGUGAUUAAUAGUUAUAUUCAUAAUAUCAUGAGUUCUUUGCUAUAAUAAGCCUGUUGCCGAAGAAUUUCCUUAACGUAGGUUAUACGAAUUGGGCCAGACUUGCAACAAGGCUCAAUCUGGAAUCACCUGAGCAAGUUUGGGCCCAGGCGAAUGGGCAUGAGUACUUGGUAUAGGUUCAUUUUACUAUUAUUGAAUUUUCUGCUAAAUUUGGUUCAAAACGAAGUUGAUUUGACAUAAUUGAGACGCUCGAUUGUAAUUUUUGAAAGUUCUUAAGUUUAUUUGAAAAUUUCAUGCAUUUUGAUAUCCCAUUCAUAGUUAUAGGUAUUAUUUUGGUAUUUUGAUCAUGCGAGCAAGUUCGUAUGAUUUUAUUAAACUUUUGUGCAUGUUUGGUUUGGUGUCCGAGGGGCUCCGGUGAGUUUCAAAUGAGUAUGGUUGAGGUUGGAAUAGAUGGUGCACUUCUGUUCCUAGUGUUCUGCUGUAGAUCUCGCAUUUGUGAGGUCAGGUUCACAUUUAUGAAGUCAGGCUCGCAUUUGUGAGCCCAGCUUUUGCGAACAAGUGUUUGCGUUUGCGAGCAUAGGCACAAUUGUGCAGCCUCGCAUUUGCAAACUGUCAGAGGUAGCUUUUGCGGUCUCAGCAUUUGGGACUUAAUUUGUUCUUGAGUUAUCUUCACAUGUGUGAAGGAAUGGUCCGCAUUUGCAAAGGCUGGGAGUUAGCAUUUGCAAACCAAAUGUCGCAUUUGUGGCUUCUAUGGCUCUAAGACAGGGUUCAUAUUUGCAGUGUUAGUAGUUUCGAACAUGACUUUGCAAUUGCAACAUCUGCAGCCGGGUAAAAGAGGGGGAAAAUGGGACUUAGCUUAUUUCUCACUAUUUCUCAAUCCUAAACACUCUAGAGAUUGAUUUUUCAAGAGGCUUUUUUCCAAAAUUCAUUGGUAAGUAACUUUAGUCCAUUUCUUCCAAUUGCCUAUUACAUUUCAUGAGAUUUCAACAUCAAAUUUAGGAUUUCUAUGGUAGAAAUUCAGAAUUCGUGUAGAGUUGAAAUUUUUUGUAAAAUUGAGAUUUAGAAAUCGAAUUGAGGUCGGAUUUCGAAACAAAUCACAUAACCGAGCUAGGGAGUGAAUGCGUAAUCAGUUUUAGUCCGAACCUUGAAUUUUAACCAAGUGGGCCCAGAGUUGACCUUUUCCAGAAUCAUUAAAGAUUGAAUCUUUUUUACUCGUGGGUUGUUUCAAAAGCUUAUUUUAAAUUGUUUGAACUAUAUUUGGUUAGAUUCAAUUUGGAGGCAAACUUUUGAGGAAAGGCCCAAUUCAUCUUUGAUUUAAUUGCGGAGUGAGGUAAGUGUUGGAUCUAACCUUGACUUGAGGGAUAUAGAAAUUUGUGAAUUAUGUGUUGUGUAGAUUAUUUGAGAAAAUAACAUAUAUGUGAGGUAACGAGUGUAUAUACACCGUGAAGGUAUUUGUUUCCACGUUUUCUCGUUAUUUCAUGAAUUAACUUAUUCCAUAUCUCAAUUGUUACAUAAUUUAUUUGACUGCCAUGCUGAAAUUGUUAUUUAUCAUUGAAUUAUUCGAGUAUUAAUUUGUUCUUCCCUUUCCUUGACUCUGUGCUUAUCUGCUAGUUUCCUUAACUGUUUCAGUCGCACACCUUAAUUGUCACAAGCUUUACUUGUUCUAUUAUUUUUGUAAUAUUUGUUACAUCAUUUGAUUAGUACGUGAUCCUUUAUUGCCUUGAACUCUUCUUCUUGAUGUAGAAAAUCUUGUAAAUUGAGUUAUUGGAUUGUCUAUGUUAUCCGAAAAUGAUUGGAAAUCGGGUUGCACACUGCAACAGAAAUUGAAAGAUGAUCAAUUGAAAUGGUAGAAUAAGGGAGUAUACUUGAUGUUGAUAAAUGAUGAUAUGGCAGGAUCAGGUUACACGUCAUAAUGGAUUGUAUAUGUGGUGCUUGAUAUUGAUAAAGAUUGAUAUAGUAAAAUCAUGUUGCGCGCCGCAACGGAUUGUGUGUAUUAAAUUUGAUUUAAACUUUAAUUUCCAGCUGUGAUGUUUUCAUAUAUGUUUUGAACCUUUGAACAAGUACGUAUGGAAUAUUGAGAUACGAUUCAAAGUCCACAUUGGACUCGACUAAAACACCAAGAUGCGUUUCCACUUGGCUUUUUAUUUAGAUUCAUGUCCUCCAUGAGAUUUGACAGAGUCAGACUUCUUAGUAUAAUUAAUUAAAUUGUGUUCUUUUGCGUGGAAAAAGUAUAACACCCCAUGCAAGACAAAAGUUUGUAAUUCAUCGGUCUUAAUUUAUGUAGCAAUAAU
rnacentral:lncRNA from 1 species